CUGCUGCCUUCCGUAGGAGUUUGGACCGUGUCUCAGUUCCAAUGUGGGGGACCUUCCUCUCAGAACCCCUACGCAUCGUCGGCUUGGUGGGCCGUUGCCCCACCAACUACCUAAUGCGCCGCAUGCCCAUCCGUGACCGGAGUCGCCCCCUUUGGCCGGAAAGGGAUGUCCCUUCCCGGCGUCAUGCUGUAUUAGGCGGGAUUUCUCCCGGUUAUCCAUCUGUCACCGGCCGGGUUGCAUACGUGUUACUCACCCGUGCGCCGGUCGCCGGCGG
rnacentral:rRNA from 1 species